CACGUAGGGGACGAGCGUUGUCCGGAAUCAUUGGGCGUAAAGAGCGUGUAGGCGGCCAGGUAGGUCAGCUGUGAAAACUCGAGGCUCAACCUCGAGACGUCGGUUGAAACCACCUGGCUAGAGUCCGGAAGAGGAGAGUGGAAUUCCUGGUGUAGCGGUGAAAUGCGCAGAUAUCAGGAAGAACACCCGUGGCGAAGGCGGCUCUCUGGCCCGAUACUAACGCUGAGGCACGAAAGCGUGGGGAGCAAACAGG
rnacentral:rRNA from 1 species